rnacentral:rRNA from 1 species
CCUACGGGGGGCUGCAGUGGGGAAUAUUGGACAAUGGGGGGAACCCUGAUCCAGCCAUGCCGCGUGUGUGAAGAAGGCCCUCGGGUUGUAAAGCACUUUCAGUGAGGAAGAACGCCUGGUGGUUAAUACCCAUCAGGAAAGACAUCACUCACAGAAGAAGCACCGGCUAACUCCGUGCCAGCAGCCGCGGUAAUACGGAGGGUGCGAGCGUUAAUCGGAAUUACUGGGCGUAAAGCGCGCGUAGGUGGCUUGAUAAGCCGGUUGUGAAAGCCCCGGGCUCAACCUGGGAACGGCAUCCGGAACUGUCAAGCUAGAGUGCAGGAGAGGAAGGUAGAAUUCCCGGAGUAGCGGUGAAAUGCGUAGAGAUCGGGAGGAAUACCAGUGGCGAAGGCGGCCUUCUGGACUGACACUGACACUGAGGUGCGAAAGCGUGGGUAGCAAACAGGAUUAGAUACCCCAGUAGUC